rnacentral:rRNA from 1 species
GAUGAACGCUGGCGGCGUGCUUAACACAUGCAAGUCGAACGAAGCAUUUAAGUUGAAGUUUUUCGGAUGGAAGCUUAAAUGACUUAGUGGCGGACGGGUGAGUAACACGUGGGUAACCUGCCCAUAAGAGGGGGAUAACAUCCGGAAACGGGUGCUAAUACCGCAUAGGUUUCUUGGUCGCAUGAUCGAGAAAGGAAGACGGCCUUUGUGCUGUCGCUUA